rnacentral:lncRNA from 1 species
UGAGUUCCUGAGAUUCAGUGGAUGAAUUUGCAUUCAGAUCGCCAUUCUCGCUGUCGAAAAAGGUUGAGUCUGUAGAGUUUGCUUCAAUCUCGAUUAGCAUGGGAUCUGCCUUUGUUUUAUCUGUGUCUUCUGAUUUUUUUAACUCCAGGAAUUGGGACUCAUUAUAGUUUGGGCCUGUAGGAAAAGUCCAAACCCUUUUAUCUAUUUUAUCACAAGUCCCAUGGCCCACGCCAGCCGUUAAUUUUGACCUAAAUCCCACGUGUUCAGCCUACUCCUUAUCAGCGAUUAAAUCACUGAUAUUUGCCCCUUUCCCAUCUAUUGUCCAAUGGUCCUUGUCCAUUGUCUUCUUCAUCUCAUGCAAAGACCACUCUCGGCUGGACUUCCGGCCAUAUCGGAAUAAAGUAAGCUAGAUCCUUAUCCACAAUCUUUACUUCUUUUGGAACUGUUCCCCCAUCACCCUUAAUCUUCAAUCUUGCCCAUUUUAGGUGAUUCUUCAGAGAAGUCUCUUCCUCUGUUUCCAGCCAACCUCCACACUGAUCUCCAAUGGCCUUGAAUAUUUUUUCCGUCCA